GUUGGUAAUAAGCUUUGGAAAGAACUUUGAUUGAUGCAAGCAAAAUUUCCAAAACAACAUGGAGGCAGUGUGGUCAAGUGGAAAAAAUCACAUGUGCUCACAUUAGACAGACUUGGAGUCUCAACCCAGUGAGACCUAGCCUAAUCACUGAAUCAGUGUGCCCAUAGUUGUGAGUAAUUAUACUCGCCUCACUGAGAUGCCAUGAGACAUCAAUAAUACAUGUCGGGGAAAUGUCCAGCAGAGGUUGAUACUCACUAAUCAUGAAGCCCCAUCUCCUUCUCUUCUGGCCAGGGUUGCUGAGCAUUGGAGGUGACCCAGUAUUAGAGUAUAUGAUUCUUCAUUUGCUACAAGAGAACACCUCAUCUGGGUCACCAACAGCUUUCUGACGAAUGCUGAGGAAAUUGUGUGCAACUAAUUCCUACAACGAGAAUCCCGUACCCACUGUGAUGGGUGAUCUGUUUGCUCAAGACAGAGGAGCCCAUUAAGCAAGCAUCACGUAUGACCUGUUACCGGGGUUUAGACACCAUCUGCAGCCUGGCUUGCUGCCCAUUGCACGUUGUGGCCGUGAAUCAACAUUGUGACAGAGAGGGCACUGGGAAUUAUUUUUGUCUGCAAUCAAUCCUUCAGAAGAAUCUCUCACAUCUUCACUUUUGUGCAGUAUGUUAACUAUGAACAAAAUGAUAGUGUAUGUCAGUCAAAUGUAAUACUUAUAUUAAAACCUGAUUAUUAAUGCAGAAGCUCAUGGAAAGUAAGGUUAAUCUGAAUAAUAUAUUAUUUCUCUUAGUCCACAAUCUAUCAUUUCACAAACCAUGGUUAAUAGAAUGACAAAAAUAAAAAGCUUUGUUUAAAUGAAAAUGUAUAAUAUAUUCUUCAUCUCAUUUAUAUCUUAUUGUGUUAGGUAGGCGAACAUAGCUAGUCUGUGAAUGUGAUAAAAAGAAGAUGAUACAUUUCUUUGUUUUAAAAAUCUUAAGUAUUCCUGCUAAAUAGUGAGUUUCCAAAGGCUUGCUAUUAUUUAAAAUAUUGC
rnacentral:lncRNA from 10 species